CACGUAGGGGGCAAGCGUUGUCCGGAUUUAUUGGGCGUAAAGAGCUCGUAGGCGGCUCAGUAAGUCAGGUGUGAAACCUCCAGGCUCAACCUGGAGACGCCACCUGAUACUGCUGUGGCUAGAGUUCGGUAGGGGAGACUGGAAUUCCUGGUGUAGCGGUGAAAUGCGCAGAUAUCAGGAGGAACACCGGUGGCGAAGGCGGGUCUCUGGGCCGAUACUGACGCUGAGGAGCGAAAGCGUGGGUAGCGAACAGG
rnacentral:rRNA from 1 species